rnacentral:lncRNA from 1 species
UGGUUCCUGCUGCUCAUCGUGAAAUUGAAUCCCUCCUUUUCACUCAUGGUGCUGCGUUUAGUGAAUUUGAAUGGGAGGCUGGCUUGCUACUUAUGUUGCGACAAAGAUAUUUCCUGACCUACGAGGCCCUGCUCUUUGUUUCUCAGUCCAUCCAUGAGCAUUAUUCAAGAAAUAUGGCCAUCGUUCAGGAAAAAUUUGCUGCCCUAUUUAUAUCUACUGAAGGAACUGGUAGUACCGAGUUUAAAGCAGCUUUCCUGUAAAUCAUUUUUGU